AUACAAUCAAGGUUUUACUCAGCC
rnacentral:siRNA from 1 species